rnacentral:lncRNA from 1 species
GUACCUGAUCAUCUCCAGAAAAGGGGUAAGAAAUCAGGACCAUCAAGCCUAGAGAAGUGGGUGAAAAGUGAUUUCCACCUGGACAAAGUCACUGCGUCCCUGUGCAGAGGCAGGUGCCCUGACCCCAGCCUGAAAGCUGAAGCUGGCUCAAAGGAGGCAGCAGUACCUGAGAACAAAAAGAAACCCAGAGUUGCCACGGGGGGCUGGAAGGGAAUCAGUAGGAAAGAGAGGAAUAAUGAAGCAGGCCCUGGCCAGAUCCAGACUCAGAGACCAAUUUCUUUCCAUCUAUGCUGCAGAGGAGGAAUCAGAGUUGGCAAGGUGAGUGACUUCGCUCUGGCCACCCAACUAAAGCCCAGGUCCUGAUGAUUUCCAGGCUGCCUCCUUGAUCUUGCAACCUCCUGCUACAGGUUCCGGGCAGGGCUGCGUCUCUGGGUGCCCAGGACUGUGCCCUGCCCUCUGUAGUCUGUCCUCUGAGGAGCCUCAGCCUCACUGGGGAAAAGGAGACUAGAGCAGGGCUCUAAACUUUGAGCAAACUCACCAUCAGUCACCUGGAGGGCUGGGUAAAACACAGACGGCCAGCCCCACUCCCCGAGCGUCUGAUUCAGGAGGUGUGGGGUAGGGUCUGAGAAUUUGCGUUUCUAACAAGUGUCCAGGUGUGGCUGAUGAGAACCACUGAGCUAGACUAUGAACAGCCAAAAAGCAACAGAGAAAGAAAGAAUAGACACUAAGCAAAGGAAGGAAGAAGGGAAGGGGUAGGGGUGACAUCGUAUCAGGGCAAGAAAUCAACCUGAAGGGCUGGGCCCUGGGAGGUUUUCCUCUUCCUCAACCACCCUGAUCUCAGGCUUACCCAGAAGUUUUCAGUUUCCUUUAAACCCCUCCCCCACCCUCUGCGCUCUGGCCCACAGGUGAGGGCAAAAGCCCCACUUAAAUGAGAAGCCUUAGAGCCUGCGCUUAAAAAGCCCUGAGGUGGCUUCUCUUCCAACACCGUUCAUCCUCGCUUCCUUGUUGCGAUGCUGCAGGCUGCUCAACUGCCGGCUACCCAUGAGCCUCAGUUCCUGAGGAUAGAGUCCUGGAGGGUGGUUGUAGCUAACUUGCCCAUCUUUCUCUGGCUGCCCCCGUGCACUCACAGGAGCCCUGGAAAGCACAGAGAAAGGGGCCUAAAGCUGUUCCAGCGACAGCAGGAGGAGGGCUAG